GCUAAAGAAAGGAAAGAAAAGAAAACAAAUGCACAGAAUUGAUUUCUUGGAAACAAACGCUGAUGUCCGUCCGCUCUCUCCCGUCGGGUCAUUUGCUCACGGCUGUUCUACAGCUGACGGUUAUUGAGCCCCAUCCCCACCUCCGGGCAGAUGCCCUCUGUCCUAAAGCUGCACGCUGCCCCUCUACUCCCAGCUCGGUGGCACCCAGCAGAAUGACGUCUUCCACUGGCCGGGGGGGCGGCAGACUGUGUGACCAGAUACCGCACAUCCGUCAUCUCAGGUGGAAAAUCCCUCCAGGACACACAUGGCCCUCCCCUGUCCUUAGACCAGUUAGCUACCAUCGUGGGCUGAAAAAUGCUCCCGCCUCCAGAAUCCCUGGAACCUGUGACUGGCACUUGAGAUGGCAGAAGACUGAAUAUUCUCUUCCAGGGUGAGAGGGGUGGUGGAGCUGAGGAUCUGCGGAAGAGGAACUUAGCCUGCAUUAUCCAGGCGGACCCUGAGCACAACCACAUGUGUCCUUGUAAGAGAGGGUGAUGGAGAUGCACAGCCACACGCAGAAGGCGGGGGGGAGGGGGGGAGGGGGGGGGGUUGAAGGUGGAGCAGAGACACGUGGCCACGAGCCACGGAAUGCCCAGAGACACCAGGAGCUGGAAAAAGUGAGGAAUGGAUGCUCCCUCGGCCUUCCAGAGGGAUCGUGGCUCUGCCAGUACCUUGAUUUGGGGCUUCUGGCCUCCAGAACUACAAGAGAGUACGUUUCUCUCGCUUUAAGCCACCAAGUUUGUGAUCGCGUGUUACAACAGCAUCAAGAAAUGAAUAGAGCUUCAUACAAAAAGAUCUGCCUUUGCCCGGCGUUUCAUGUGAAUGGAAGCCUACCGCAUGUGGUCGGCGGUGACUGGCUUCGUUCACUUAACAACGUUUUCAAGGUUUGUCCACGUUGUAGCAUGUACCAGUACCUCGUACUUUUUUAUUGGCAAAUAAUACUCGAUCGUAUGAGUCUACUGCAUUUUAUCCAGCAACUGAAGGACAUUUGGCUUGCUUUUACUUUGGGUCAUUAUGAACGAUGCUGCUACGAACGUUUGUGUACAAGUUUUUGCGUGAACGUUAAGUUUUCCUUCUGUUGGGUGGGUGUGUACCUAAGGAGGGCAACUGCUGAGUCACAGAGUAACUCUAAUUAACCCUUGUGAUUAAGAUCGGCCAGACCGUUUCCCCAAGUGGCCAGACCGUUUUACAUCCCCACCAGCAACGCACGAGACUUUCAUCACCUCCAACUUUUUGGUUCUAGCCAUCCUAGUGGGGGGUGAAGCUGAUUUGCAUUUUCCUGAUGACCCGUGACCUUAAGCAUCUUUUCUUGUGCUCAUUGGCCACGGCUACCUGUUUUUGUAAAUACAGGUGAUUGGAACACAGCCACAACUCCUUGUUUAUACGUUGUUGAUGGCUGCUCUUACACUACAGUGGCAGGGUUGAGUAGCUGUUUUGUGUGUGGGUCCUGAAGAAAAGACGGUCAGGUUCUUGACUUUGGGGUAGACAGGGCAGGCGUUUGAACGCGGGAAGGAAGGAAUCCCUGAUGGAUAGUUUGCCUGUCCAGUGCUCUUCCCAGGCACAGACUAGCACAGAGAAGCCGAAGUGACAGCAGGGCCAGUGGAAUAAAAAGCCGGAGCCUAAGAAAUUCCAACGGUACUUGCCGACGGCCGCUGUAGGGAUGGAAUGCCAGGAUCCAACAGGAAACGAGCUUUCGUUUGGAAGGUUCGGCGUCUCAGGAUGGCAUGUCUUAGUACCGGAAAACAGGGCUGUGACGCUUCCUGUACAGAUUUUGCCGGCCGAGGCUGUAAUCGUAGGCUAGCUCCCCUCCCCGCCCCCAUGAGCACGUCUCCAUCUGACUUAGGCACUGUUCACAGGUGGGCAUGUCAGGCUCCUUCCAGCUGAGUCACUGUGCCUCACGCGUUUGGACUGCCUGUCUCUGUUGGGAGUUUUCUGCAUGUUUUCACUUCUUAAAUCCCAGGCUUCCUUCUCUGCUCUGGUGCUCAUGGCCCUGAUUUUAUACCCUCUUUCUUGCCCUUCUGAGGGGGAAAACAGUGCUUUUCUGCAAUGCCUGGACACUGUAGUUCAGGGAGGCAAGUAGCCCUCAAAUGUCCCCAUUACAUUUUCCCCAGCAUCUUCCUUCACACCCCUCCAUCGAUUGAUUAUAGAAAAGACCCCCCCCCCCCCCAACUUCCUUACUCAAUCUUCAGUGAGGCCUUGGGUUUGCUCUCGGCCCAGGUGAAGCGCUUCAGCAAGGGGGAGGCCAGCAGAGAGCCACUGUCCAUCUGGUAAUCCUGGUGGGGGUGGGGGAGGAAAAAGGGUUACACUUCUUGCCUCACCCAGAGGGGGCCACGCUGGGGGGGGGGGGUGGAAUAAUACUCGGCUGUGCAAAGUCACCCCAAGCUCUGUCCUCACCUGCCUAUUAAGACAAAGCAUUUUCUCCAUAGGGGGCAAAUCUACAUUUUGUUGCAAGCAAUGCCUAUUAUUCCCAGUGACUUGGAGGCCCUGCUUCCCGAAGGGGAAGGAAAUGCAUUUAAACACAAGGGAAAACUACAAGUAACAGGAAGGCUGGCAGAGAUCUCCACCAUCUGGCUCUUCCUCGGGCAAGUUCACCUACUGACGCAGUUUCUCAGUCUGAAACCCUGUCACCAUCUGCAAGGCCCGAUUUCUAGAUGAGCACUUCAUUGGCCGAAGGCUGAGCAACCCCCUGAAAGGGCUCGAACAACUUUGACAGCUUCCCUCCUUCAUCUCUGACACAAUCAGCUACUGCGAAUGUGUUCGGUCUGACCUAGUUUUCUUGUCUUUAAAAAGAAAUGGGUGAUUCAUUUGUUGCAGGCUGUGGGGCUAGUCACGGAGAGGGAGCAGUGCCACUGACAUGUAACCCAUUACCACAAACCGGGGCUGGUCACUGGACUUCUCGGCCUGUCACAGAUGGCUGUCAGUCUUUUCAGACUGGCCCAACCCUUAGCUAUGCCUCCCCUGGUCACCUGCCCCGUUUGGCUGAACUGAGGUCAAAGCUCUGGGGUUGUGCCUGUUGCAGAGGAAGACGCUAGAAGGCCCAUAGGAUGGUCUUAAACACCCUAAACAUAGUCCUAACUGCAUGGAAACAAGGACGCAGUGUUAAAAUACCUGGGUCACAGACUCUAUUCUGCCACUCUCUAGGCACACAGUUUUGGCACGCUAUCUUCCAUGGAGCCUUAAGGGCCCCAUUUGUGUAACGGUAAUAAUAAUAUCUACUGUAUAGUAUUGUUUUGAGCAUUAAAGGAAUUGAUGCUUUGUACAAAGAGCCCAGCACAGUCCCAGACCACGCACAGCAUCAGUGCUGAAUGUGUAUGAUGCACACGUAACCAUUAGUGGCGAUGUUUGAUUCCUAUGUGACUGUUGGCAUUGAUGUGGGAUGGUCAUUGGUAAUGACGUGUUGACACACGUAUAAUCGUUAGUACUGAAGAGCUGAUCCCCGCCCAGCACCCAGUGGAGACACCGAAUCCAUACAUUUUCCCUGGUCCCUUCUCCAAUUUUCCUCUACAGUAAUGAAUGGUAUGUUAGUGUCUCCAGUAGGAAAAACAAAUGAUUUUAUCUGAGGUCUCAUGAAAAAAAAAAAAAAAAAAAAGUCUUUGGGGAAAAAAAAAGAUGUAAGAUUAUUCUAAAUAAGAGUCGAGAGGGGCACCUGGGCGGCUCAGUCGGUUAAGUGUCCGACUUCAGCUCAGGUCAUGAUCCCACAGUUCGUGGGUUCGAGCCCCGCGUCGGGCUCUGUGCCGACCGCUCAGAGCCUGGAGCCUGCUUCAGAGUCUGUGUCUCCCUUUCUCUCUGCCCCUCGCCUGCUCACACUCUGUCUCUCUCUCUCUC